AAAAAACAAAAUAAUAAUACACAGAAUGAAAAUGAUGUGGAAAGUGUUAAUGAAAUUGAAAAACAUGGAACAAAGAAUACGGAAGCUAGAGUAAAUAUCGGCGCAGAACACUAUACUCCUGCGGCGGAUUAUUGACAUAUUUCCACAGAUUAAGAUUGAAUUGAUGAUAUUUCCUAUUAAAAACAUGAAUGAUUUAGCAUCUACAGAGUCCUUGCUUUUGAAUAAGCCUGAGGAAGAAAUUGUGGCGUAUCUGAAGCAAAAAUUUUCAAAGAGACCCCUAUCAAAAAUUUUGGAUGAAGUGAUUGCGGAGUCCCUGCUCUUAAAAGUGAAUUGGGAUGGAGCCAAAAAAAAAAGUUGCAUUGAAGAAUUAUGCACUUUUCAAUAAAUUUCUUUACGGCCUUAAAAGAUGAUUACUCAUACCCUGAUUUUGAGGCAAAGAUCAAAAAGGCGUUUCUCAAAUGUCAGUUCUACAGGAACACUUGUAAUAUAAAAAAACUAGAUUUCAU